rnacentral:rRNA from 1 species
GAUGAACGCUGGCGGCGUGCCUAAUACAUGCAAGUCGAGCGAACGGACGAGAAGCUUGCUUUUCUGAUGUUAGCGGCGGACGGGUGAGUCACACGUGGAUAACCUACCUAUAAGACUGGGAUAACUUCGGGAAACCGGAGCUAAUACCGGAUAAUAUUUUGACCCUCAUUGUUCACAAGUGAAAGACGGUCUUUCUUUCACUUAUAGAUUGAUCCGCGCUGCAUUAGCUAGUUGGGAAGGUAACGGCUUACCAAGGCAACGAUGCAUAGCCGACCUGAGAGGGUGAUCGGCCACACUGGAACUGAGACACGGUCCAGACUACUACGAGAGGCAGCAGUAGGGAAUCUUCCGCAAUGGGCGAAAGCCUGACGGAGCAACGCCGCGUGAGUGAUGAAGGUAUUCGGAUCGUAAAACUCUGUUAUUAGGGAAGGACAUAUGUGUAAGUAACUGUGCACAUUUUGACGGUACCUAAUCAGAAAGCCACAGGUAAAUACGUGC